rnacentral:rRNA from 1 species
ACCCACGAAGCAAACCGAGCGAAGAUGCGGCGCGAGGGACGGCAGCGGGGGUGGGUGCGCGUGUACGACCGCGCCCUGGUCGACCCGGAGGGCAAGCGCCGCGCCGUUCGCGCCGUGGACGGCCCGGCGGUGGCCAACGGCGGCUUCAUCAGGGCUUCCCGGAGGCCGACGAACCAGUCGAAGCCCGGCGGCCUCCGCGCGCUCGGCAGGGACGCCCUCGCGCAAGCGGAGGAGGAGGAGCCGGAGCCGGAGCCGCAGCUCCAUCCGCCGCUGGGCGCCGGGUACUCCGGGUACUACUGCACGACGACGUGCCAGUCGCCGUUCAAGUUCGAGGCCGUGCCGUAUCAAUGGAGGUACGACGCCUUCGUGCCCGAGGAGGUGCAGGCUCCUCGUCCGCCGCCGGCGGCGGCGCGUUUCGGGGGAAGAGCGGCGUGCAAGGGGGGCCGCAAGUUCAAGCACAACGAGAUCAAGAUGUACUACGUCGACGCCGCCGAGGAUGUCGAUGGGCGCCUCGAUUAUCUCCAUGACUUGUUAUAG